rnacentral:misc_RNA from 1 species
ACAUUUAAAGAUGAAAACUUCAAAUUGGCACACAUUGGACCAGGAGUAGUCAGUAUGGCAAAUGCAGGUCCCAACACCAAUGGAAGUCAGUUCUUUAUUUGCACUGUCAAGACCCCAUGGCUGGAUCAGCGGCAUGUUGUUUUUGGACAAGUUUUAGAAGGCAUGGACAUUGUGAAGUUGAUAGAGUCACAAGAGACGGACAGAGGAGACCGUCCCAGAAAGAGGGUGGUGAUCAGUGACUGCGGUGAACUUCCGAUGUCUGCGGCAUGACAUUCAAGCUGUCCAUUUUCUUCAUUUACAAACUUCAAAUUAGUCUACCCCUUUCAAAGUAUUCUUGUUUGAUGACAUUGUAAUCGGUGGAAAAUAUUGAACAAGGAAAUUUUGUCCUCAGGAUUUUGUUUUAUCAUUUUAUGACACGGA